rnacentral:rRNA from 1 species
UACGUAGGUGGCAAGCGUUGUCCGGAAUUAUUGGGCGUAAAGCGUGCGCAGGCGGCUUUGCAAGACAGAUGUGAAAUCCCCGGGCUCAACCUGGGAACUGCAUUUGUGACUGCAUGGCUAGAGUGCGGCAGAGGGGGAUGGAAUUCCGCGUGUAGCAGUGAAAUGCGUAGAUAUGCGGAGGAACACCGAUGGCGAAGGCAAUCCCCUGGGCCUGCACUGACGCUCAUGCACGAAAGCGUGGGGAGCAAACAGG